UGUGCUCUCCGAUCUAAACAGUAGCCAACCAGUCAUUUUCUGUUGUCAUAUUUGAAUUCAGCAUGCCAAAAUCCAUUGUAAAUAGCACAUUAUAUUUCUGAAGCAGGCGUCUUAAAAUUUGUAGACCAGUGU